rnacentral:rRNA from 1 species
AGUUGGUGGAGUGAUUUGUCUGCUUAAUUGCGUUAACGAACGAGACCUCGACCUGCUAAAUAGCGAGGCGAACCUACGGGUUCGUUCUCCGAUUAUACUUCUUAGAGGGACUAUCCUGCAUUUUACGAAGCCGGAUGGAAGUUCGAGGCAAUAACAGGU